CUCACCUAGGCGACGAUCCCUAGCUGGUCUGAGAGGAUGACCAGCCACACUGGAACUGAGACACGGUCCAGACUCCUACGGGAGGCAGCAGUGGGGAAUAUUGCACAAUGGGCGCAAGCCUGAUGCAGCCAUGCCGCGUGUAUGAAGAAGGCCUUCGGGUUGUAAAGUACUUUCAGCGGGGAGGAAGGGAGUAAAGUUAAUACCUUUGCUCAUUGACGUUACCCGCAGAAGAAGCACCGGCUAACUCCGUGCCAGCAGCCGCGGUAAUACGGAGGGUGCAAGCGUUAAUCGGAAUUACUGGGCGUAAAGCGCACGCAGGCGGUUUGUUAAGUCAGAUGUGAAAUCCCCGGGCUCAACCUGGGAACUGCAUCUGAUACUGGCAAGCUUGAGUCUCGUAGAGGGGGGUAGAAUUCCAGGUGUAGCGGUGAAAUGCGUAGAGAUCUGGAGGAAUACCGGUGGCGAAGGCGGCCCCCUGGACGAAGACUGACGCUCAGGUGCGAAAGCGUGGGGAGCAAACAGGAUU
rnacentral:rRNA from 1 species